UAUGUUAAUAUAACAGUUAGUAGUAGUGUAACAUAAUAUAUAUUAGUAGUAAUAAAGAAUAUUCGGUAAUGAUGGUAUAAUUUCUUAUAGUUUGUAAUAUGUACAACUUUAGAAUAGAAGAGUAAAAAAAUUUAUGAUACUUUUUCUGUUUUAAACAGAACAUCAUAUUUAUACAUAAUCCACUCUAUUAUAUUUUAUUAAAUAUAAGUAGUAGGAUUAUACCUCUUCCAACCACAUUUUAAAUCGUUUAUGACGUUGAACAUAGCAUUAGAAAAAAAAACCCUGGUUUAUUUUUCUUUUGCAACAUAUAUACUAAUAUGGUAUGGUAUGUAUGAAAGUCAUGUAGUUGGUUAACUAUAAAGGGAUGUAGGAUAUAGGUAAAAGUAUAAUAAUAGUGAGAUUAUUUAUGCAUAUAUAUAUGUGUGUGGAUGGUACUAGGGCGGAUAUAAUUGGUACUAAAUAAUCAUGAAAAAGACUACGUAUAUAUAAUGUCAUUAUAAAAGGUAAUGACAUUAUAUAUAAAAGGAACCUCAUAUAUGUAUUUGUUAAAGAUGCAUAUAUGAGGUGGGGAAAUAGGAAGAUGGGUACAUGGGGGUAUAUGGGUAUAGGUACAUGUGUACAGGCAUAUGGGAAUACAGAAGUACAGGAGUACGUAAGUACCGGGGUACAUGGGUACAUGAGUACGGGGGCACAGGCACAUGGGUACAGGCGCAUGGGAAUACAUGAGUACGGGGAUACAGAAAUGCCGGGGUACAUGGGUACACGAGUACGGGGGCACAGGCACAUGGGUACAGGCGCAUGGGAAUACAGAAGUACAGGUGUACGUCAGUACCAGGGUACAUGGGUACCUGAGUACGGGGAAUAGGGGUACAGGCGCAUGGGAAUACAGAAGUACAGGUGUACGUCAGUACCAGGGUACAUGGGUACCUGAGUACGGGGAAUAGGGGUACAGGCACAGGGGAAUACAGAAGUACAGGUGUACGUCAGUACCAGGGUACAUGGGUACCUGAGUACGGGGAAUAGGGUUACAUGGGGCGAACACAGAGGAACAUAGAGAGGAGAGCUACAAAAAAAAUGUGCAAAACUGAUACAGAAAGCGGCACAGGAGCAGCCAAUAUGCACAUAGGGAAAUACAGAAAACUAUUCAAAAAUUCUAAAGCACGUUUAUAAUCAGUUUGGUGCUUUAGAAAAAUGUCUUUCUAUUAUGGGUAUUGAAUAAAUUGUAAUUUUACUUAUAAUUUAUUUGUGUUUUAUUAUAUGGAAACAUAUAAUAAUGAAUUAAAUGUAUUUGUUUGUUUAUUUACAUGUGUGUACAUAUAUACAAAUGGAUAAACUGCGUUUUUUUUUUUUUUCUUGUGUUUAAUUAAUGAUUUUAAUUUUUUACAUAAAUAUAUAUAUAAUAUAUGUAUAUUUUACUCUUAAGUAUAAUAUGCCAUAUUAUUUCUAAUUUUUAUCUUAGAUAACAUUUGUUUUAGAUUUAGAUUUUUUUUAGGGUCUAGUCUGGCGUUUAAAAGGAUUUAACUAUUUUCUCGUAAUUAUAGUUAAUUCUUUUGAUGUUUGAGUAUUCAGAACGUAUAACAUUUAUUUUGUUAUAAGAAGACACGAUUAUUUUUAUAAUAACAUGCAUGAAGGUAAUGUAGGUAAAACAUUUUAUAAUUGUUAUUAUAAUAAUGAAAAAAUUAAAGAAAAAAUUAAAGAAAAAAUUAAAGAAAAAAUUAAAGAAAAAAUAAAAAAAAAAAUUAAAGAAAACAUAAAAAAAAACAUAAAAAAAAAAAUAAAAGAAAAAUAAAAAAAAAAAUAAAAGAAAAAAUAAAAGAAAAAAUAAAAGAAAAAAUAAAAGAAAAAAUAAAAGAAAAAAUAAAAGAAAAAAUAAAAGAAAAAAUAAAAGAAAAAUAAAAGAAAAAAUAAAAGAAAAAAUAAAAGAAAAAAUAAAAGAAAAAAUAAAAGAAAAAAUAAAAGAAAAAAUAAAAGAAAAAAUAAAAGAAAAAAUAAAAGAAAAAAUAAAAGAAAAAAUAAAAGAAAAAAUAAAAGAAAAAAUAAAAGAAAAAAUAAAAGAAAAAAUAAAAGAAAAAAUAAAAGAAAAAAUAAAAGAAAAAAUAAAAGAAAAAAUAAAAGAAAAAAUAAAAGAAAAAAUAAAAGAAAAAAUAAAAGAAAACCUUAUAUAUGUGUAUAUACAAUUUUUAACUUAUAAAAAUAAACGUUUUCAUAUACAUGACGUUUUAUGCUUUUUUAUACAUUUCAUUUAUGCCUGUGUUAUAGUGUUGCAUAUAAAAAAAAAUACAUUUGCCUAUUGUAAAGAGGUAAAUUGAGUUUUAUGUUUGAUUAUAUUGUAUUUUAAGUGAAUAAUUAAAAUAUAAUAUAUAGAAUCUAUGUUAGUAUAAAAUGUAGUAUAAAUAGUGAUUGUUUAUAUUUUCAUAUCAUGUUGUGUAUAUUUAUUGUUGAAAAUAAGAAGAAAUAUAUAUGUCUGUCUAAAUAAAUAAUUAAUAAUUACAUAAAUAUUUUUUUUAAUAAGUCUUAAAUUUAUAAUUAAUAAUUACAUAAAUAAAUAUUUUUUUUAAUAAGUCUUAAAUUUAUAAUUAAUAAUUACGUGAAUAAAUGAAUAAAUAUUUUUUUUGAUAAGUCUUAAAUUUAUAAUUAAUAAUUACGUGAAUAAAUGAAUAAAUAUUUUUUUAAUAAGUCUUAAAUUUAUAAUUAAUAAUUACGUGAAUAAAUGAAUAAAUAUUUUUUUAAUAAGUCUUAAAUAUAUAAUUAAAUGUGUUACAUGAAUAAAAUUUUUUUUAAUAAGACUAAAUAUAUAAUUAAAUGUGUUACAUGAAUAAAAUUUUUUUUAAUAAAACUUAAAUUUAUAAUUAAAUGUGUUACAUGAAUAAAUAUGUACAGUUAUACAAAUAAAAAUGACGCUACAUUAUUAUUAUAUUAAUAAUGAUAUAUUGAAGAUUAAAUAACGAUAUUGCGGAGGAACAGUGACAAGACAAAUAAAUAAUAGUAUAUAUUAGUAUAUAUAUAUAUAUAUAUGUGAAGAUGGAUAUUCAAAUAUUGAAGAAGGUUGGAUUUAUUGAAUGAAUGAAAAUCUAUGAAGAAACAUAAUUGUUUAUUAUAUAAACCUUGGAAUAUAAUAUAUUGGAACAUAAAAAUCAAUAACUUUAUUUUUUUUUUAAUUUUUUAUGUAUCAAUAUAUAUAUAUAUAUUUUUUUUUUAUAUUAACAAUAAUAAUUUUAUUAUAACUAUUAAUAAUAUUUAUUAAGAAUUUUUUUUUAUUAUUACA